UACGUAGGGUGCGAGCGUUGUCCGGAAUUAUUGGGCGUAAAGAGCUCGUAGGCGGCUUGUCGCGUCGACUGUGAAAACCCGGGGCUCAACUCUGGGCUUGCAGUCGAUACGGGCAGGCUUGAGUGCGGUAGGGGAGACUGGAAUUCCUGGUGUAGCGGUGAAAUGCGCAGAUAUCAGGAGGAACACCGGUGGCGAAGGCGGGUCUCUGGGCCGAUAUUGACGCUGAGGAGCGAAAGCGUGGGGAGCGAACAGG
rnacentral:rRNA from 1 species